CACGAGCCUGCCUCCAGGAAGCUUCCUGGACCUUUCUUCUGCCACCCCCCUCCACCGCAGGCAGACGAUACUCCCUCCACACCAUUUCCUCUGAGUCAACGACCAGCCCAGCGAGUGGCAUGGAGGAGGUCAGCAGAAGCAGGAUCACAUACCCAUAACCUCACUCCCUGGCUGGCUGGAAGUCGGCACGCUGGCCCCUCUGAUCGCAGGCUCUGGAGGCAUAGGAGAAACACCAGGGAAUCAAGAGAGGCCAAAACCCAGCCCAGUACAGAAGCAGACUCUCUGGGGUGGCUCCAGGGCACCAGCGUUUUAAAAAGCUCCCCAGUGGAUUCCAUCGGGCAGGGGGCGUUGAGAACAGCUGCGCCUCCUCCUGGAAAGCAGGCACAGGUUCAUGCUCAAGGAAUGAAGAAUGAGUGAAAGAAUAAAUCCAUGAAUGAUUUUACCUACAGUAACUGAUUCAGCCAUCUCAGUGUCCUACAGGUCACCCUGCAUCUCAAGUGGACAGAGACUCACCCACCUUGCACAGUACCCGCUCUGGAAAUGAAGGCAGGAUGUGAAAUAAAGGACCAGCGAGCUAAGUCUGACUCCAAGAGCCUGGCUAUUUUUUCUCAGGCAUCCUUAGCCAACCUGCCUGUGGUUAUGCCAAAGUCCAGGGAUCUAAGGCUGAGGGUCCUGGGGACAGUCAGUCAGAACUGACAGUGGGACUUUGUCUCUCUCAGUGAGGCCCAGGCCUGCCUGGGGGCUCUCAGGGGGAGGGUCACUAGCACCCAGAACCCACAAUCAAGAGGCUGGUGGACUGUUUAAAGAAACUGUCUGAAUUGCAAUUUUUUUUUUUUGAGAUGGAGUCUCACUCUGUCGCCCAAGCCUGAGUGUAGUGGCGUGAUCUCAGCUCACUGCAACCUUCGCCUCCUGGGUUCAAGCAAUUCUUCUAAGUGCCUGCCACUGUGCCCGGCUAAUUUUUGUAUUUUUACUAGAGAUCGUGUUUCACCAUGUUGUCCAGGCUGGUCUCGAACUCCUGACCUCAAGUAAUCCACCUGCCUCAGCCUCCCAAAGUGUUGGGAUUACAGGAAUGACCCACUGCGCCCGGCCCUGAAUUGCAUUAAAAAAAGUUUAUUCCCCCAUGUUGUCUGGCCCCAAAUCCUGCCAUGGAGAACUGGCUUCAAUAAAUGCCCCCUCUGCCAUUCAUCACUUGAGUCUCACUUCCCUCUCCUGCCUCAGCUCAUACCAUUUAUUACACCCACAGUCUCCAAAUGAACAACUUCUGCAACUUACAAACAUACUUGAGAGCUCCACCUGUCCUCCCCAAUCCAUCAAGGCAACAAAAUUCAUUUCUCCUUGGGAGCCUAAAGAAGCCCAGGCUUGGGGACUAAUUAAGCAUUUCCUUUGAAAUGCAUGCAUGCUGUAGAUUGCUGAGGGUGAACUCCAACCUCUAAUAAAAUAGGAACCAGAUGCCAGGAACAGGAGGUGCACAGCAUCCUGCUAUCAUGGCCAUCACCCAGGAGGGACCCGGCGAGGGGCAGCACAGCCUCUGGAGGGCUCUGGCUAAUGUCAAAGUUCAGGUUCACAGCACCAGCUGGAAUUUUUAUUUUGGCCAUCAUCUACAACAAGGAAUGAGUGCCUCCUGACACCCCCAUGAGCACACCAUACCUCCAGCCUUCAUUCCCCCUUCCCUCCUUAUUUUGCACACUCUGGGGAAUCUGGCUGGAGCUCUAAUUCUCCUGCAAAGCCUUCCUGAAAUACUCAAACCUUGAAGGGACUGUUUCCCCUCCCACUACACCCGAUGAGUACUGCAAAGAUACAGCCCUUGGCCACAGAGUGUCAAUUAUUAUAAUAUUAACCACCA
rnacentral:lncRNA from 1 species